rnacentral:rRNA from 1 species
AACGAACGCUGGCGGCAGGCUUAACACAUGCAAGUCGAACGCAUCCUUCGGGGUGAGUGGCAGACGGGUGAGUAACGCGUGGGAACGUGCCCUUCAGUUCGGGAUAACCCAGGGAAACUUGGGCUAAUACCGGAUACGUGCGAGAGCAGAAAGAUUUAUCGCUGAAGGAUCGGCCCGCGUCUGAUUAGCUAGUUGGUGGGGUAAUGGCCCACCAAGGCGACGAUCAGUAGCUGGUCUGAGAGGAUUAUCUGCCACAUUGGGACUGAGACACGGCCCAAACUCCUACGGGAGGCAGCAGUGGGGAAUAUUGGACAAUGGGCGCAAGCCUGAUCCAGCCAUGCCGCGUGAGUGAUGAAGGCCUUAGGGUUGUAAAGCUCUUUCGUCCGGGCGAUAAUGACGGUACCGGAAGAAGAAGCCCCGGCUAACUACGUGCCAGCCGCCGCUGUAA